AGAUUGAACGCUGGCGGCAUGCCUAACACAUGCAAGUCGAACGGGAGUAGCAAUACUCUAGUGGCGGACGGGUGAGGAAUACGUAGGAAUUUGCCCUUAAGUGGGGGAUAACCCGGGGAAACCCGGAUUAAUACCGCAUGACCUCGAAAGAGCAAAGUGGGGGAUCGCAAGACCUCACGCUUUUGGAGAAGCCUACGUCGGAUUAGCUAGUUGGUGAGGUAAUGGACUCACCAAGGCGACGAUCCGUAACUGGUCUGAGAGGAUGAUCAGUCACACCGGAACUGAGACACCGGUCCGGACUCCGUACGGGAGGCAGCGAGUGGGGAAUAGUUAGGACAAGUGGGACGCGAAGCCUGAUCCAGCAAGUGCCGCGUGUGUGAAGGAACGGCCGUUCGGUU
rnacentral:rRNA from 1 species